rnacentral:rRNA from 1 species
UACAGAGGGUGCGAGCGUUAAUCGGAAUUACUGGGCGUAAAGCGCACGUAGGCGGCUUGUUAAGUCAGGGGUGAAAUCCUGGAGCUCAACUCCAGAACUGCCUUUGAUACUGGCGAGCUUGAGUUCGGGAGAGGUGAGUGGAACUGCGAGUGUAGAGGUGAAAUUCGUAGAUAUUCGCAAGAACACCAGUGGCGAAGGCGGCUCACUGGCCCGAUACUGACGCUGAGGUGCGAAAAGCGUGGGGGAGCAAACAGG